AUGGCUCAGAGUGAACGCUGGCGGUAGGCCUAACACAUGCAAGUCGAACGGCAGCACAGUAAGAGCUUGCUCUUAUGGGUGGCGAGUGGCGGACGGGUGAGGAAUACAUCGGAAUCUACCUUUUCGUGGGGGAUAACGUAGGGAAACUUACGCUAAUACCGCAUACGACCUUCGGGUGAAAGCAGGGGACCUUCGGGCCUUGCGCGGAUAGAUGAGCCGAUGUCGGAUUAGCUAGUUGGCGGGGUAAAGGCCCACCAAGGCGACGAUCCGUAGCUGGUCUGAGAGGAUGAUCAGCCACACUGGAACUGAGACACGGUCCAGACUCCUACGGGAGGCAGCAGUGGGGAAUAUUGGACAAUGGGCGCAAGCCUGAUCCAGCCAUACCGCGUGGGUGAAGAAGGCCUUCGGGUUGUAAAGCCCUUUUGUUGGGAAAGAAAAGCAAUCGGCUAAUACCCGGUUGUUCUGACGGUACCCAAAGAAUAAGCACCGGCUAACUUCGUGCCAGCAGCCGCGGUAAUACGAAGGGUGCAAGCGUUACUCGGAAUUACUGGGCGUAAAGCGUGCGUAGGUGGUUGUUUAAGUCUGUUGUGAAAGCCCUGGGCUCAACCUGGGAAUUGCAGUGGAUACUGGGCGACUAGAGUGUGGUAGAGGGUAGUGGAAUUCCCGGUGUACGCAGUGAAAUGCGUAGAGAUCCGGGAGGAACCAUCCAUGGCGAAAGGCAGCUACC
rnacentral:rRNA from 1 species